GGCGGAGCGGAGGGGGCCGAGCCCACUGUGGGGCGGGGCGUCUCGGGACACGUGACGUGGUUUGACUGUUUACACGAGGCGCGGGCAGAGCCCUCGGCCUCAGUCAGUCAGGCGCUAGGCAGCGUUUCGGUU
rnacentral:lncRNA from 1 species